AACGUAGGUACCGAGCGUUAUCCGGAUUUACUGGGCGUAAAGCGCGUUCAGGCGGUUUGGCAAGUCGGGCAUGAAAUCUCUCGGCUCAACCGGGAGAGGUUGUCCGAUACUUCCAGACUUGAGGGCAGUAGAGGGUGGUGGAAUUCCGGGUGUAGUGGUGAAAUGCGUAGAUAUCCGGAGGAACACCGAGAGCGAAGGCAGUGUCCUGGCUGGUGACUGACGCUGAGGUGCGAAAGCUAGGGGAGCGAACGGG
rnacentral:rRNA from 1 species